UACAGAGGAGCCAAGCGUUGUCCGGAUUGACUGGGCGUAAAGCGCACGCAGGCGGAUGCGCGCGUGGGGUGUGAAAUCUGGCCGCUUAACGGCCAGGCGCCAUCCCAUACGGCGCGUCUGGAGUGAUGCAGAGGUCGAUGGAAUUGCCGGUGUAGUGGUGAAAUGCGUAGAGAUCGGCAGGAACACCCAGGGGGAAACCAGUCGACUGGGCAUCUACUGACGCUGAGGAGCGAAAGCAUGGGGAGCGAAGAGGA
rnacentral:rRNA from 1 species